rnacentral:rRNA from 1 species
CCUACGGGUGGCAGCAGUGGGGAAUAUUGGACAAUGGGCGAAAGCCUGAUCCAGCCAUGCCGCGUGUGUGAAGAAGGCCUUCGGGUUGUAAAGCACUUUCAGUGGGGAAGAAAGCCUUGGGGCUAAUACCCUCGAGGAAGGACAUCACCCACAGAAGAAGCACCGGCUAACUCCGUGCCAGCAGCCGCGGUAAUACGGAGGGUGCGAGCGUUAAUCGGAAUUACUGGGCGUAAAGCGCGCGUAGGCGGUCUGAUAAGCCGGUUGUGAAAGCCCCGGGCUCAACCUGGGAACGGCAUCCGGAACUGGCAGGCUAGAGUGCAGGAGAGGAAGGUAGAAUUCCCGGUGUAGCGGUGAAAUGCGUAGAGAUCGGGAGGAAUACCAGUGGCGAAGGCGGCCUUCUGGACUGACACUGACGCUGAGGUGCGAAAGCGUGGGUAGCAAACAGGAUUAGAUACCCUAGUAGUC